rnacentral:rRNA from 1 species
AGAGUUUGAUCAUGGCUCAGAUUGAACGCUGGCGGUAUGCUUAACACAUGCAAGUCGAACGGUAGCAGGCCUUCGGGCGCUGACGAGUGGCGGACGGGUGAGUAACGCGUAGGAAUCUGCCUGUUAGUGGGGGACAACGUGUGGAAACGCACGCUAAUACCGCAUACGCCUUACGGGGGAAAGGAGGGGACCUUCGGGCCUCUCGCUAACAGAUGAGCCUGCGUUGGAUUAGCUAGUUGGUAGGGUAAAAGCCUACCAAGGCGACGAUCCAUAGCUGGUCUGAGAGGACGAUCAGCCACACUGGGACUGAGACACGGCCCAGACUCCUACGGGAGGCAGCAGUGGGGAAUAUUGGACAAUGGGCGCAAGCCUGAUCCAGCAAUACCGCGUGUGUGAAGAAGGCCUUAGGGUUGUAAAGCACUUUCAAUGGGGAGGAAAACCUGCCGGUCAAUACCCGGUAGCUUGACAUUACCUUUAGAAGAAGCACCGGCUAACUCCGUGCCAGCAGCCGCGGUAAUACGGAGGGUGCGAGCGUUAAUCGGAAUUACUGGGCGUAAAGCGUGCGUAGGCGGUCCGUUAAGUCAGAUGUGAAAGCCCCGGGCUCAACCUGGGAACUGCAUUUGAAACUGGCGGACUAGAGUUUAGUAGAGGGGAGUGGAAUUUCAGGUGUAGCGGUGAAAUGCGUAGAUAUCUGAAGGAACACCAGUGGCGAAGGCGACUCCCUGGACUAGAACUGACGCUGAGGUACGAAAGCGUGGGUAGCAAACAGGAUUAGAUACCCUGGUAGUCCACACCGUAAACGAUGUCAACCAGCCGUUGGCCCUAUUUACAGGGUUAGUGGCGCAGCUAACGCAUUAAGUUGACCGCCUGGGGAGUACGGCCGCAAGGUUAAAACUCAAAUGAAUUGACGGGGGCCGCACAAGCGGUGGAGCAUGUGGUUUAAUUCGAUGCAACGCGAAGAACCUUACCUACCCUUGACAUCCAGAGAAUCUGUUAGAGAUAGUGGAGUGCCUUCGGGAGCUCUGAGACAGGUGCUGCAUGGCUGUCGUCAGCUCGUGUCGUGAGAUGUUGGGUUAAGUCCCGUAACGAGCGCAACCCUUGUCCUUAGUUGCCAGCGGGUCAAGCCGGGAACUCUAGGGAGACUGCCGGUGAUAAACCGGAGGAAGGUGGGGACGACGUUAAGUCAUCAUGGCCCUUAUGGGUAGGGCUACACACGUGCUACAAUGGCCGGUACAGAGGGCUGCGAACUUGCAAAAGUAAGCGAAUCCCAGAAAGCCGGUCUUAGUCCGGAUUGGAGUCUGCAACUCGACUCCAUGAAGUCGGAAUCGCUAGUAAUCGCGAAUCAGAAUGUCGCGGUGAAUACGUUCCCGGGCCUUGUACACACCGCCCGUCACACCAUGGGAGUGGGUUGCAAAAGAAGUGGGUAGUCUAACCUUCGGGAGGGCGCUCACCACUUUGUGAUUCAUGACUGGGGUGAAGUCGUAACAAGGUA